ACUCAAAGGAAUUGACGGGGGCCCGCACAAGCAGCGGAGCAUGUGGUUUAAUUCGACGCAACGCGAAGAACCUUACCUGGGCUUGACAUGUUCCUGAUCGGCGUGGAAACACGUCUUCUCUUCGGAGCAGGAUCACAGGUGGUGCAUGGCUGUCGUCAGCUCGUGUCGUGAGAUGUUGGGUUAAGUCCCGCAACGAGCGCAACCCCCGUCGCAUGUUGCCAGCAUUUAGUUGGGGACUCAUGCGAGACUGCCGGUGACAAACCGGAGGAAGGUGGGGAUGACGUCAAGUCAUCAUGCCCCUUAUGUUCAGGGCUACACACGUGCUACAUUGGCGCGUACAGAGGGCUGCGAUACCGCGAGGUGGAGCGAAUCCCUUAAAGCGCGUCUCGGUUCGGAUUGCAGGCUGAAACUCGCCUGCAUGAAGGUGGAGUUGCUAGUAAUCGUGGAUCAGCACUGCCACGGUGAAUACGUUCCCGGGCCUUGCACACACCGCCCGU
rnacentral:rRNA from 1 species